GGUGGACAGGUCGACUCCGCCCAUCAGAAGCAGCCCUGUUUUGAAGCUGAAUGGGGACCCACUCCGUUCCCCCUCACUUGUGAAGAAACAGGAACCUCCACAUGAAACGCAAACCGGCCUCAGCAGGGAUCAAACUGCAGGUUACUUCUACAGGUGUCAUGUGUGUGGGUUCGAAAUGGAGGGGCGUGUCCUUUUCCAGAGUCACAUGACAGAGCACCGCCAAUGGGAGCACGGA